UCUCCGUUAGCUCAGAGGCAGAGCGUCUGGCUGUUAACCAGAAAGUCGGUAUAUCGUAAUUACCACGGAGAG
rnacentral:tRNA from 1 species